UACGAAGGGUGCAAGCGUUACUCGGAAUUACUGGGCGUAAAGCGUGCGUAGGUGGUUUGUUAAGUCUGUUGUGAAAGCCCCGGGCUCAACCUGGGAAUUGCAUUCGAUACUGGAUAGCUAGAGUUCGGCAGAGGGAAGUGGAAUUUCUGGUGUAGCGGUGAAAUGCGUAGAUAUCAGAAGGAACAUCAGUGGCGAAAGCGACUUCCUGGACCAGAACUGACGAUCAGGCACGAAAGCGUGGGGAGCAAACAGG
rnacentral:rRNA from 1 species